GCACCUCAUUAAAACGGGUGCCGGGAUUGGCCUCCCGCUUAAGUCUAAGGCGAUACAGACGCCGCUCGCGUCUUUUUU
rnacentral:sRNA from 26 species